CAGAAAGUUUUGUGAACAGGCUUUUUUUUGUUGGUUGUUUGUUUUAUUGUUGUUUUACCAAUAGGCUUAGGCUUUUUUUUUUUUUUCUUUCUUGCCGUGACACAGCAGCCACAAACUGACACCACAUCGCCUUCAAGCCUCAGCUGUGCACCCGAGAUGGUUUCUUUUCCUAUUUCUAAUCAGAUCUAAGGACUGUUCAGAAGAUAUAAUUUAUUGUGUUUUGUUUUGUUUUGUUUUGUUUUGGUUUUUCUGUGAAAACCAUGGAUGAAGCACCCGUGGGUGCUGCCAGGCCCAGAUCUCUGGAUCCAUCCCUCACAGCUUUGGGGUGAAACGAAGCCAUGUUUUGGGUGCUUUUGGGGCACACACUUUAUUACCACUUUAUUACCACUUUAUUUGCACAGAAUCGGGCUGACUGAUCGCCACAGCAAACCGGUGACGAUUUUAAGCCAGAAAACGGCCGGACAGUCUCCACCUCGCCACAUUUCCUCACACAAACAGCGGUCGGCGGUUAAACCCCAAGCUCUGCGGGGCGUGACGAGCCCGCCGCCUCAGCCUCCCUCAGCGCCUCAGCAACGCGCGCGGCCUUUUUGUCCCCUCUCGCCACCCGUCCCCAGCCGCUGGGCAAUGGCGGGACGGCCAGCAGCGCGUCCACAACAGCGUGUGUGCGGCGAAAGACUACAACUCCCAUGAACGCACCGCGGCAGAGCGCAUGCGCACAAACACCCUGUGUCCACCUUACCCCCCUCCGCUCUUCUCCCAUCUCAACCGGGGAAGGGAGGGGAGCGAGGGGACUACAACUCCCAGCGUGCCCCGCGGCGGCGGCGCAUGAGCAGUGCGGCGCGCCGCCAUCUUGGUCCUGUGAAGCGCUGCUGCCGCCGCCGCCGCCAAACAAACCGGAGCGCGGCACCGGGAGGGGGGGGAGGGGAAGGGGAAGGGAGGAAGAGGAGGAGGAGGAGGAGGAGGAGGAGGCAGCCGAGGCCGGGCCCUGCCUCUGAGGAGCCCCCUUCGAUGUACCGGGCACGGCCGGGCAGCCAGGCCGAGCUCUGGGGGAGCACAGAGGCGAGGGAAAGAUGCCUGUGGUGUGGCCAACUCUCCUGGAUCUCAGCAGAGAUGAAUGCAAGAGGAUCCUUCGCAAACUGGACAGUGGCACAGAUGUUGUGCACAGCACCAAAUCGAAGCUGUACGUCCGUUGAGGUGACAGCUCUACGUCUUAAGCAAGGCUCAACGAGUACGAAAACUAGGAGAAAGUGCGGGAUGCCAAAAAAUUCAGACCUGAUCUGUGCUACUGAAUUAUGUUCACGUAGAUCUGCUGGCUAGAAGUGUGGAAAAAAGAAAAAAAAAAAAAAAACAACUUCCACCCCAGCUGAUGGCGGUGUGCUGGCAGAACCCUGCUGGUGCAGCUGAGCCAAACAGAACUGCAGCUACACCUCCUUCAAUGACAUAACCUAGGCUGACAGGAAAAAAAAAAAAAAAAAAAAAGCUUUUUUUUUUUUUUUUUCUUUGCUGGCAUGAGCUGUGUCCCCACAAGG
rnacentral:lncRNA from 1 species